rnacentral:lncRNA from 1 species
CGGGGAGCGGGCCGAGCCCCGGGAGGCCGCUUCGCACCUCCCAGUGUGUCCGGGUUGAGCGCGAGGUCAGGAGGGGACGCAGAGUUCACGGCGAAGACGGAUCGCGGGGGCUCGUCCCGCCCGGGUUGCGCGCAGCGGGGGCCGCGUGAUGGAUGGGCCGGGCCGGGCACCCGGGAACCCGCGAGCGCGGGGCUGGGCUCUGGGCUGCGUCCGGGGGCCCCGACUUGGUUAUUGAUCGGCCCAAGCGCAGGAGAACUGACUCUAUAAUGCAUCGCCUGACCAGGAAAAGUGUUUGCUUUUGUGGGAGCAAAAGACAACUUUCUGCCCCGCCAGAGCGUUGCUAAGUGAGCGGUAAUGACCACGCUAGAAAUUUCAUAGGGAGAGGCUAAUGGCAGGCUGACUCUAAAAGUGCUUUUAAGUGCAACUUCUGUCUAAUCCCUUGAGGGGGAAGAAAACAUCGGCGACUAAGAAAGUUCAAGUUGUACAGGACCCGGGUUUUUGGGGUCGGGGUCACUUCUGCUCUGCGUGACUUUGAAGAGGAAGACCUGCGGUUUUUUCCAGUGGAUUUUCACACGUGUUUUAAAGAGAACUCCCGGCUCCUGAAAUGAAAGGCCCGCCUGUAGGGUUUUGCUGCCUCCCCUCUGCCCACGCCCCACCCCCACAGCCUGGAUCAAAGCGAUCAGACAAAUUAUUCAGAAGUAACACAGCCCUGAAAUGUUCCUAAACGUGACUAUUUGAGGCGAUGAAUCAAGCGUGUUCCCUCCGCCCCCAACCCACCCCCAGACCGAAAAUGUGACUCUGGAAACGGACUUGCAGAGCUGGCUUCGGUUUAUAUGCGGUUCUGACCCCUGUUGACUUUAGGACAAGCCUUCCUGUUUCCAGUACUGCAGCAUCGCCAGACAGCCUCGCCAUGCAAUCGGCUUUCCAGAUACGAUUUCACUCCUCACCAAAGACACUUCUUUAGGGCGAUUUUAGGAUUCUAUCAACGCUAGUAAAGGAACUACUUAAACACGUUGAUUUGUAUCGCCUUCCCUGACUAUGAAACAUUGAAGUGGAAUACUACUCAUCAAUAAAAAAAAUAUAAACUCCUGAUACACCUCAUGGAUGGAUGCAUAGAUGGAUGGAUGGAUCUGAAAAACAUCGUGCUGAAUAAAAGAAGCCAGACAUGAAAGAGUACGUACAAUAUGAUUUCUUUUAUCUGAAGUUCUGGAACAGGUAAAAUUAAUCUAUGGUAACUUAAGUCAGAACUGGGAGUACUUCUGGUGGGAGGAUUUAGUGGGAAGGGGCAUAAAAGAUCUUCCUGUGUCUUGAUAGAAGUGUGGGUUUUACAAGUGUAUGCAUUUGUAAAACUCAUUGAACUGCAUGCUUAAUAUUCGUGCAUUUCACUGUAUGUAAGCCAUUCUUCAGUAAGAUACAUGAAAAAAGAAAGUCAUAUAAAAGUCAUAAUAUAACAGAAGAGGAAUUCUGGAGUUCUUGUGGAAUAUGCUAUGUCAGAAAACUGCUAAAGAAUAAGUGGAGUGAUUUUUUAAAGACAAGGAAUCAGAUAAAUGUAAGAAUUUCAAAAUCAAAGAAUGUGUUUAGUGGCAGAAUUGCAAUAUUAAUUAUUCCUUAGAGUUACAUUCCCCACAAUGUGUUGUUUGGCAUAUUAAAAGGCAUUCUAUUCAAAACGAUUCUAUAGUCAUAAAUUUGGGAAGCUGUAGGUUAAACGGAGUUAUAUAGGAUUUCUUCCCUAGUACUUCUCAGACUCUUUAAAAUGCGCAUCCUUAGUGUGGGCCUUGUUAUGGGUUGAAUUCUACCUCCCCAAAAAGGUAGGUUGAAGUCCUCAUACCUGUUGAUAUGAUUUUAAUUGGAUAUAAGGGUUUUGCAGAUGUAAUUAAUUAAGGUCAUACUGGAUUUACGGUGGGCCCUUCAUCCUAUAUGACUGGUGUCCUUGUAAGAGUAGGACAGAGACAGAGAGAGGGGGCGGGGGAGAGAGAGAGAGAGAGGGAGAGACCAGGGAGAGGAUGCCCAUGUGAUGAUGGAGGCAGAGAUGGGAGUGAUGCAUCUAUAAGCCAAGGAGGGCCAAGAACAGCUGGCAAACACCAGAGGCUGAAAGAGACGAGGAAGGAUUCCUCUAUAGGUUUCUAUAUCAGUUCCUUCUCAUGCUACUAAUGAAAGACAUACCUGAGACUGGGAAAUUUAUAAGGGAAAGAGGUUUAAUUGACUCACAGUUCAGGAAACUUACAAUCAUGGUGGACGGGGAAGCAAGCAUGUCCUUCUUUACAUGAUGGCAGGAAGGAGAAGUGCAGAGAGAAGGGGGGAAAGCCCCUUAUAAAACCAUCAGAUCUCAUGAGAACACACUCACUAUCACCAGAAAAGCAUGAAGGCAAUCACCCCCAUGAUUCAAUUACCUCUCAUUGGGUCCCUCCCACCACAGGUAGGAAUUAUGUGAAUUACACUUCAGUAUGAGAUUUGGGUGGGGACAGCCAAACAAACCACAUCAGCUUCAGAUGGAGCUGGGCUCUGUUGACAUCUUGACCUCUGAUCUCAGACUUCUAGCCUGCAGAACUGUGAGAGAAUAAAUUUCUAUUGUUUCAAGCCGCCUGUCUGUGGUACUUUGUUAGAGCAGACACAGGAACCAUACAAACCUCUAGGAAAAAGAUGUGAUGAUCUCACGUUUCCCAGAUUGGUCUGAUCAUACAAUCUUCUGCACUUUCCAUGGCAUGUCUGGAGAGUGUUUGGCCCGCCCAGUGUGGUAAUCCCUGCCUGCUGGGACGGCCUUUCCUUCAACUAUUCAUGUUAUUCUUGCUUACCUUAAGAGCAGUGUGGUAUGCAGAAUGAUGGCCCCCAAAGAUGUCCACAUCCUAGUCCUGGAAUGUGGGAAUAUGUGAGUUACAUGGCAAAGAGGAAUUAAGGGAGCACAUGGAGUUAAGCUUGCUAAUCAGUGGACUUUAAAAUACGGAGGCUAUCCAGUUGGGUCUAGUGUAAUCAUGAGAGUUCUUAAAAGUAGAAGAGGGUAGUUAAAGAGAUUGACAGGGUACUUAAAUCAGAAGACAGGAUUGCAGAUGGAGGAAGGGGCUGCCAACCAAAGAUGGUGGGUGACCUCUAGAAGCUGGAAAAGGAAGGAAUGGAUUCUCCUCUCCAGCAAACAAAGAAACACACCCUGCCUACAGCUGGAUCUUAGCUCAGGGAGACCCGUGUUUGAUUUCUGACCCACGGUACAGCAAGAUGAUAACUCUGUGCUGUUUCAAGUCUGUAGGUUUGUGGUAAUUUGUUGUAGUAGUAAUAGAAAGCCAACAUAAGCACUAAGUGAAAUAAUUCUUUCUUCAUUUUUUAGAACAUUUGACUUUUGAUGUCAAAAACUAGAAUUUUACAUUUUUUAGAAUUUUGUUCCAGAAUGUUGUCCAUAUUGCAUAAAGUUGUGUCAUUUCCUACUCAAACAAAGACUAUCUACCUGAAUGCUUGCAACACGACAAGAAUAAUAACAGGUAAAACCAUAUUUCCCCUGGUGGCUUUUUUUCUUUUCCUGGAAAAUAUUUCAUAUAUCUGUGGUAUGGUUGUAAUCUUCCUGUUUUAGAUCAACACUUGUGUUCAUGCUGCUAUUUUCAGAAGCUUGAGAUCAUCUAAAUCAUUUAAUGUUAUUGGAAGUGUAGUGAUGUAGACAUGGUGUUGCCUCCCUCUAACUCAUCCUGAAUUUGCAGCAUGAUCGUGUUAGAGCUCUUGCUCCGCUAGUCUCCCUUUUCCACCCUCCCCUCCCUCUGCUCCAGGUUCCUUAUGAUUUGAGCUCCUGGGUUUCCUGGUCUAUACAAACUUCAGCAUCUCUGUCUACCAGUCGUAGGAUAUAAUGACCCCUGUCUUAGUCCAUUUGGGCUGCUAUAACAAAAGGCCAUAGGUUGUGUGGCUUAUAACCUACAGAAAUUUAUUUCUUACAAUUCUGGAGGCUGG